UAGAGUGAUGUGCUAGAUACAGCAGGCAUCCCAGCAGCAAAUUCUGGUUGGUGGAGCCCAGAUGGUUUCUUCAUAGAGGCAAUGAAUUUAUUUUUAAAAAAUGAAAAGAAGUUUACCAAAUGUAUAGGGGCAUUUCAACAUUCAAAGUAGAAGGAUCAGCAUGAGCAAAACAUAUGAAAAUAAAACAAGAGCUAGAAUGUUUGAGCAGUGGUGAGACAACCAGGAGUUUCAAGCAAUUAAAAGGUCAAAGUGGGAAAUAAGGUUAGGGAGAAAAUGUAGAGUAAAGGUAAAUUCCUUUUCCUUUUAAUCAAGUAUCAGUGAUGACGAAGGUAAGGAGCAAGUUAUCUUUUCUGCACCAGAAAAAAGGAAAAUCUGGAGUAUGACAGCAAUCUUCAUAAAUACAAAUGAUUACUCGUGGAACACUGGACUUAUUUCCAAACUAGAAGAGGCGAAAGCAAUGAAUGAAACAUACAAUUCAAUAUUUGAAAAAGAUAGAACUCCCUGAAAAGAGAAUGUCCUGACUUCACGGUCAGUAGAGGUGCUGUGUAAAAAAGGUUCUCCAGGAGACUCUGGUCAUACUGAGGGUCAUUUGGCUCACUGCUACAAUACACAUCACUCCCAGGAGAUGGGGAAUCUGGAGGAGAGCCUAGUCCAUCCCAGUAAUGACCCUGAGAUAAUUCAGCACUGCAAAGAUAAAGACAACAACAAAAACAAGGACUUUAACGGAAGUUUCAGCUAAGCUAUUCUUUCAUUAAUGAAAACUUUCUAAACAUGGAGGAAGCUAUGUUAAACCAAAGACACAUUAAA